AAACUUGAGCUAAUACCGGAUACGCCCUUACGGGGAAAGAUUAUUGCCGAAGGAACGGCCCGCGUCCGAUUAGCUAGUUGGUGAGGUAAUGGYUCACCAAGGCGACGAUCGGUAGYUGKUCUGAGAGGAUGACCAGCCUCACUGGGACUGAGACACGSCCCAGAYUCCUACGGGAGGCAGCAGUGGGGAAUAUUGGACAAUGGGCGCAAGCCUGAUCCAGCCAUGCCGCGUGRAUGAUGAAGGCCCUAGGGUUGUAAAGUCCUUUUAACVGGGAAGAUAAUGACSGUACCCGUAUAAUAAGCCCCGGCUAACUUC
rnacentral:rRNA from 1 species